AUCAAUAAGAGUGUUAUAACUGGAAGAAGCUGUGGCAUUGUGAAUUAACUUAGAAGUAAAGCUUUAAAAAGGGGGAGCCUAAUAGGAGAGUGGGGGAGGUAUGCAGUCAGAGGUACAAGUGGGAACUGCUCGCUCAGCACAAUUGGUACAGCUGGCUGAAGUGAAGUUCCAGAGACAUUUAUCACUAGUCAUAUCAACACAGGUGGUACAGGUCAAAAGACCAGCAGAAACCUUUACAAGUCCUCCCUCAACAGGGGUAUUAACCUGUCCAGUGGCCACAGAGGUUGUCUUCCAGUGUUAAUGAAUUGAUGAGGUCUGGAAAACCUUAGAACAGCCUAACUGUGCCAGCAUAAACAGCUCUGAAAAUAAAUCCCUCACCUCCCUGCAUCUCCAACAAUGACUUAACAGUUUGAAAACAGUAUAUAAAUCAUGGUUCGAUUGGGAGGUUGUGUGUGCCUUAGCAAUGGACGGAGAGAUGGCUACAUCUCAGGUUCUCAGGAGGGCCAUGCCUUAAACCAAAGGAUAAAAAAAGAGGAGAAAACACUUCUGCAAAACUAACUACCCAACACAUCCACCAAGUCUGACAGUGUCCCUCACUCAAGACUUCUGCCUCUGCAGAGUAAAGGGACCUAACUUGUCUUGCCUUAGAUCUCACCCUACUCCAAUCCUUCCUGCACAAAGCUGCCAAAAUGAUUAUCUUGAAG